ensembl:lncRNA
UCAAAUGCCUGAAUCAUUUUAAAACCCCCCAAAAAAAUAAUGCUUUCCAUAAAAAUAAAUCACUGUAAAUCGUUUUUGGCCCGGGCAAUUACCAUAUUUCACUCAUAAUUGUACAACUCCUAUGGUCAGAUAAUUGUGGGCACUCUCUCAGUCGGGCCGUCUUCCUGUUCGGUCCGCUUCCCCAAAACCGAAACUCAGAGUCCCGACUCUCUCUACCUUCUCACACUCAUCACUUAGAUCAGGUAAACGCGUGGCGUUCAAUACAUACACAAUAUCUGCGUGUAACAUGAACACCGCUGGCGUCAUUAAGCGCUCCCGGCCGCGAUUAGGCCGUCUGGAGACUCACUGCGCCGCCUGUCUGUCAAAUUGCUGAGGGGUCCCACUCUGAGGAGCGCAAUUGAUUUAAGAGAGCCCUCUAGGUCCAGUGUGCAUUUUCAUCAAAACUGCAAAAUCGAUGCUAAGCAGAUUCAGAUCUUCGUCGCUGGCUAUAUUUCAGCUAGUGCCCUCACUAAUGCUGACGUGUCCGAGGCGGCCAUUAUUACCCGCCAUUAGCAUUACUGUCACACACAAACACACGCACAUUCCUAAACAUCCUUGUUGAGAUUUCUCUUUCACAUCCCAUUUAUAAUUAGUUUAGCCUCUUGAAAAAAACUUUGUUGGUCAUUUUAGAUUUGAAAUAAGACAUUUUAUGUCCAUUUAAGAUUUUUACGUUCUAUAAUUAUUGUCAAGAUUUGGUUUUCUUCAAGGGACAUUCAGAGAAGUUUUGUCCCAAAAAUCAUAUCUGUACAUGUAUGUAUGCAUGUAAGAUACAGAUUCAUAUCUGACCAUAAAUUAUCCAAAAAUUAAUAUGUGACUGCAUAUAUUUGGACCACACUACUGUGCUGUGAUUUUCAUACAGUACACUCAGUUUAAAUGGUAUGUUUAAUCUCCACUACUUGAUUGUUGAAUUGUCAUACUGUAUACUGUUUUGCACAGCAAAAUUAAAAAAAAAAAUGGAUAUAUAGUACACUCUACUUUACCUGUGUACAUACAGUAUAAUCACACAGCAGUAUAUACUAUAUAGCAAAUUUUGGCUGUAUGAUUGUUUUUAUCAUUGGAAAAGGUGAACUGUGUUAUCACACAUCUCUAUAGAAAGAUGGAUAUAUAUUUUAGCCAAAUUUAUCUGCAUGCAUACUGUACACUUAUGUGAAGCAAUAUAUACUAUAUA